rnacentral:lncRNA from 1 species
CCAGGAUUCUCCAAAUAUGAGUAAAAUGAAGAAGGAAAAGAACUACAUCUAGAAACAUCAAAACCAAUAAAGAGAAAAGUCUUAAAAAUAGAUGACAAAAAAGAAAGUUACAACCAGAGAAACAGAAGUAAGGAUGGCAGUGAGGUUCUCAGCAGCAAGGUUUAUAUCAAUUUAAUUUGCAACUUACUUCAGCCAAAAAAAGCCAACCAAUGACCCAGAUUCUAAGAGGGUGCAGAUGAAAUUUUGCCUCUCCUACUAUGACUGUGCCUACAAGGAUUUUCUGAUUAAUGUACUCCUCAUUACUGAUUCUAUAAUUGUAUAUUUUUAACAAACUACCAAUUUCAAUGAAUGUGUAAGUCAAGUUCUUUGCAUAUUGGAAUAAAUUGCAGGCUAACAGAUACAUGAU